GUUAAAGAUAACGCUGCACAGCAAAGUUUACAGCCUUCACUCCGGAUCAGCUUCUUCAGCCUAAAGAAGGACGGAGGACGAGAUGGACUCAUCGGCUGAGUGAGUCCAUUAACUGACUGACUCUAUCAAAUGAAAUUACGGCUGAAUCCUGGAGACGCAGAGCUGCAUAGUGCCAUGACUCUGUCAGGAAGUCCCAGGUGAUGAAAGCAGCCGGUGCUCCUGGUACCAGAGUUCAGUGAAGUCCUGCUGGGUUUCUGCUGUUUGUGGAGAGAAGAAAGCUCCGAUAACCUGGCAGGAAAAGACGCAGCUACCCUGAAGCCAGAGGAAAACACACUGCUGCCUCAGGACAUUACAUCAGAAUGAUGUUUUCUGUUAUCAGGAGAGUUUCUUUCAGUCCAGACGGACGAACCCUUUUCAUGUCGCUGAAUUCAGAAGAAAUAAUGGCAGCUGAUAAUGGACAUGCUAACCAAACUGACAGGCUAAUUUAUUUAAAUCUUCUUUCCAGCCAGAGAACAAUAAAAGCUUCAGUCAGUUUCAUCAUGUACCGACUCCAGGGGGUUUGGCCCAACCUGUGAUUGCUGCAUUUCACGGCCGUUCAGCACCAGGGGGCGACGCUCGGAGAGGACAGGUGGAGGGCCGUACGCCGCCUGCUUCACUCUCAGACACUGCAGUCAGGCUCCAGAGCGCUAAUCACUGAGCGUCUCCCUGAGAAUCCCGCAGCAGGAUUCUGCUGCUCCUCACGUUUGGACCAAAACCUUCCUGGUGGCUCUGUUGCUGCAGGAUGAGGGGAAAUGUGUGGAUCUGCAGCAGACCUGGCUGUAGCGCGCUAACAGAGUCUGACAUGUCCAGAGCUGCCACUCUGUUCUGAUCUUCAUCACAGCAGAAAUGCUUUAAUCUUUGACUUGUGAUAUUAAUGUGAAUUAUUAAUGCUUCCUCCUGUAGGUUGGUGCUCCCGCUUCCCUUCAGUCACCUGCAGCACAUCACUCAUUACCAUGGAAACGAAUAACAGCAUCAACUGGACCAGUUCUAGCAAAACCUCUUCCAACUUCCUACAGCUGUGCUGCA